rnacentral:rRNA from 1 species
CUUGACUCUAGUCUGGCACUGUAAGGAGACAUGAGAGGUGUAGCAUAAGUGGGAGAGCCCGGUCAAACGGGCUCGACGUUGAAAUACCACUACUUUCAUCGUUUCUUUACUUACUUGGUGAGGCGGAGGGCGCGCGUCGUUCCCUGUGUUCGGCGCGCGGUCUUCUGGAACCAAGGAAGGCGAGCAGCAAAGAUCCUUGCCGGUCGAUCCGAUCCAAGGACACUGCCAGGCGGGGAGUUUGACUGGGGCGGUACAUCUGUCAAAGAAUAACGCAGGUGUCCUAAGGCCAGCUCAGCGAGGACAGAAACCUCGCGUGGAGCAAAAGGGCAAAAGCUGGCUUGAUCCCGAUGUUCAGUAAGCAUAGGGACUGCGAAAGCACGGCCCAUCGAUCCUUUUGGCUUGGAGAGUUUCCAGCAAGAGGUGUCAGAAAAGUUACCACAGGGA